GGAGAGUACCUUAACGAAAGCACGCCAUCCCGUCCGCUCUGGCAAGUCAAGCAACGUUGGGCCUGGUUAGUACUUGGAUCGGAGACGCCUUGCGAAUUCCAGGUGUCGUAACCU
rnacentral:rRNA from 1 species